rnacentral:lncRNA from 1 species
GCCCAUUGAGCAAACCACGCCCCUUUCUCAAUCAAACCACGCCCCUUCUCCGUUAAACCACGCCCAUUCCGCGUUUAGGCCACGCCCAUUUGUAUUUUUUGGGGGGGUCUUCGCGGUUUGAGACCCCCCAAAAAAUUCUCUCAAAAUUCGGAUUUUACCUCAAAAAAAAAAUCCCCUAAAAAUAUAAAUAAGCUCUCAAAACAGCUUUUAAUUUUUUUCUUUUUUUUUUUUUUCCAAAAAUUCGUUUAUUACAAAAAAAAAGUCCAAAAGUAAAACCAAACAAAAAAAAAUAAAAUAAAAUUUAAAAAUCGCGAUGGGGGGAGGGGGUCCCACCCCUCCCCCCACCCCAAAAUUAACGGUUUUAGGUGUCCCCAUCCCAAAAAAAAUCCCCCCAAAAUGGGAUCCCUGCUUUCUCCUCUCUACCCUCUACUCAUCCCCCUCCCCCAGAAUUUUUGGGGUGCCCCUCCCCCACCCCCCCAAAAUCUUUUCCCGCCCCUCCCCCACACGCUACAGAGACCCCACCCCUCCAUCCCCUCCCCCCACCAUCGCUACAACCUAAGGGGUCCCCAAAGACCCCCCUAAAAUCUACGGGGGGGGGAGGGGAACCCCCCUUAAAUCAGGGGGGACCCCCCUUUGUCCCCCCCAAAAUUUGGGGAGGGGUCACCCAAACCCACCACGAGAGGGGGGAGGGGCAGGUUUUGGAGACCCCUCCCCAAAAUUCGCACUCAGGUAUAAAAUCAGGAAUUUUUUGGGGUUUUUUUUCUGUGUUUUUACCCCAAAAAAAUCCCAAGAAUUCCAAAAUUUGGAUCAUUUUUUGGAGGCGUUUUUUUCCCCCUUUUUUUUUGGGGAAAGUUUUUGCCAGCUGGAUUUGAAAUGAGGACCCCAAAAUUUGUCACCUGGGUGUCCCAGGACCCCAAAAUUUGUCACCUGGAUGUGCCAGGACCCCAAAAUUUGUCACCCAGGUGUUCCAGGACCCCAAAUUUUCUCAUUCAGGUGUCCCAGGACCUCAAAAUUUGUCACCCAGGUGUCCAAAGACCCCAAAAUUUGUCACCCAGGACCCCAAAUUUGUCACCUGGGUGUCCCAAGACCCCAAAUUUGUCACCCAGGUGUGUUGGGGAGGGGUCUCACCUCCUUCAAGGGGUCCUCAGGUGUUCCCAAAAUUGCUCCCCAUUAUUUUGGGGUCACCCCCUCAAUGUCCAGCAGGGAUUCAGAUGUCCAGGGGUCACUCCUGACCACUCUGGGGUCACUCUGAGGUCAUUCCCCACCACCUUGGGGUCACUUUGA